GUCCCCGUAGCUCAGCUGGAUAGAGCGUCAGAUUGCGGAUCUGAAGGCCGGGUGUUCGAAUCACCCCGGGGACA
rnacentral:tRNA from 1 species